rnacentral:ncRNA from 2 species
AUUAGCAACUAGGGGAGCCUAUGGUGAUAGGCUGAGAUAGAGAUAUGAGCUCUGACCCUCAUAACCUGAUUUAGAUAAUUCUAACGUAGGGAAGUUAAUGCGUAUGUUU